rnacentral:pre_miRNA from 1 species
GUUUGAACUACUUAGGGAGCUAUUUAAAAAGCAGAUUCUGACUAAGAAUUUGCACUUCUAAUAAGCUCCCAUGUUGCUGGUUC